rnacentral:rRNA from 1 species
UACGUAGGGUGCGAGCGUUGUCCGGAAUUAUUGGGCGUAAAGAGCUCGUAGGCGGUCUGUCACGUCGGAUGUGAAAGCCCGGGGCUUAACCCCGGGUCUGCAUUCGAUACGGGCAGACUAGAGUGUGGUAGGGGAGAUCGGAAUUCCUGGUGUAGCGGUGAAAUGCGCAGAUAUCAGGAGGAACACCGGUGGCGAAGGCGGAUCUCUGGGCCGGUACUGACGCUGAGGCGCGAAAGCGUGGGGAGCAAACAGG